AAAUGAAUAGACGGGGACCCGCACAAGCAGUGGAGUAUGUGGUUUAAUUCGAAGCAACGCGAAGAACCUUACCAAGGCUUGACAUAAUACUGAAUAGGAUAGAGAUAUUCUAGACCUUCGGGACAGUAUUACAGGUGGUGCAUGGUUGUCGUCAGCUCGUGUCGUGAGAUGUUGGGUUAAGUCCCGUAACGAGCGCAACCCCUGUUAUUAGUUGCCAUCAGGUUAAGCUGGGCACUCUAAUGAGACAAUCGGUGAUAAACCGGGGGAAGGUGGGGACGACGUCAAAUCAUCAUGCCCCUUAUGUCUUGGGCUACACACGUACUACAAUGGCUAUUACAACAGGUAGCGAAGGAGUAAUCCGGAGCCAAUCCCCAAAGAUAGUCCCAGUUCGGAUUGUGGGCUGCAACUCGCCCAUAUAAAGUCGGAAUUGCUAGUAAUUGCAGGUCAGCAUACUGCAGUGAAUACGUUCCCGGGUCUUGUACACACCGCCCGU
rnacentral:rRNA from 1 species